GUGAGUGAGAGCGCGUGGGUAGGACGGUCGCAACAACUGGGACAGUCGACACUGCAGCUCACUAUAACCACACCAAUCAUCGCUGUCGAAAGUUUGAGAGCAUUUGGAAAAACCCGCGACGACUGAAGUCCAUGAUAACCUUCUUACAGCGCUUAAUGAAAACCUGGAACUCCUACAACCAGGACUUACUGAACACGAGCCAUUCAGUAGAAAAGUAUGACUGAAACUCCCAAACCGCUGAUGGGCAAUGAGCUCGCGCAAGAGAACGGUCAAUCUGGGGAAGUCAGAGGGAGCUCAGAAGAACAAGAGAUGAAAGGCAUAACCCAAACACCCAAACAACCGAUGGGAAAAGCAACGGAUGGGAAGAACCCAGAAGAGCAAGAGGCUCUGGAAGUCACAGUGCAGUUCACAGCAGCACCUCAGUCUACUGAUUCUUUGUAUUAUACAAGUUACAAACAGAGGAGUGACGAGUUUCGCAAGUUAUUCAAAGAGGUUCCUGAGCAUGAGAAAUUGGUUGUAGACUACACCUGUGCGCUCCAGAAAGAUAUCCUGUUACAGGGACGCAUCUACUUCACAGAGAACUGCUUAUGUUUCUACAGUCAUGUGUUUCGUGGAACAAAAAUCAUGGUAAAUAUGAAGGAUAUCAUCUCAGUAUCCAAAGAGAAGACUGCAAAAUGGAUACCAAAUGCCAUUCAGAUCAGUACUAAUUCAGAAAAGCUCUUCUUUAGCUCCUUCUCAACAAGAGAGAAAAGUUACCAAAGUAUAUUUCGCCUUUGGCAGAAUGUUCUGAUGGAAAAGAAAUUGACUAAGUUGGAGCUGUUGCAGAUGGUUAGGCAACAUUAUGGCAACGACUUAGGAUUGAGUCAUGAUGAAAUGGAAAGUUUUCAAACAUCAGUAGAUACGAUCACGCCUACCCUUCCCAGUCUGAAUAUGCGCGGAGAGGAUUACACCGGGAGGCCAGAAAGGCCAACAUCUCUUCGUCUUCCUCACGGAGAGCUAAAUUCCUAUGAGGCCUCCACACCACAAGGAGACGACACACAGUCUUCAGUGGGUCUGCACAGUGUGCUCUCAGCAAACGGAGGGGAUGAUUCUCUCAGCACCCCAUCCCAUCAGCUCAGUCCAAAUCUGUCAUUAAACCGCUCUGGGUCUGAACGGGUGUCAAAACGUUCCUCUUUCUCUCUGGAUCUGAAUGCUAAUGAAGACCAGCUCUCUGACAACAGCAGAUCUGACAGUCUGGAAGAGGUGGAAGAACGUGAAACCGCAUCUCCGGUGUCUCAGGGAAGACUGUUUGUGAACCGGGUCUUUCACAUCAGCGCUGAGAAGAUGUUUAACUUGCUUUUCUCCGAUUCUAGUUUCACAAGGAGGUUUAUGGAUAUCAGGAAAAUCACAGGUAUAACCGCUACCCCUUGGAAAAAGGAGGCCUCUGGCUGUAUGAAACGAACUUUGAACUACACCAUCACCAUUAACAACCCUCUAGUUGGCAAGUUCUCCACUGCUACAGAGACCCAGACAUUAUAUAAAGAGUCAAGGGAGGGUCAGUACUACAUGAUAGAUUCAGAGGUCUACACCCAUGAUGUUCCUUAUCAUGACUACUUCUACACUCAGAAUCGCUACUGUAUCAUUCGUAACUCCAAGCACAAGUGCAGACUCAGGAUUUACACUGAUGUCAAAUACAAAAAGCAGCCUUGGGGUCUUGUUAAAUCCUUUAUCACCAAAAACUCCUGGAGUGGCCUAGAAGACUACUUUAGACACCUUGAGGCAGAGCUGCUAGAUGAAGAAGCAGAGUUGACUCAAGGAAGUGGAGAUGCUGGGAAGACGGGUGCUUUGCGCAGGAGAAGAAGAACGUAUAGUCGCACCUUGCAGGAACACAUGAAGCCGGCAAAAGCACAGUACAGCACAGACUCAGAACAGCAGAGGACUGGAACCAUGGAAUUAUAUUACAGGUCCAAUGGACAUCAAGAACACACCACACCGAUGGAACAUCACUUCAGUUGUGUUUGGAAUGAGCUUAAUACUUUUUGUUCUAGUGGUUCUGAACUUGGGGCUCUUCUUCAAACUUUGGGCCAUGGAAGAUGUUGCUCACCGCAUGUAUCUCAACACUAAGCACAGAAUGAAGGAGAGGGUAGAGUCCAGUUUGCCACCUGACCUAGGGCCCAGACACGGUAUGCCUCAUAGAAGUCAGGAGGAAGUUCAUUUACUGAGAGCGGUGCUGCAGGACUCCAUUAACCUUCUUGAGCAGCUCCGCAGUUCACUACUAGUGCUUCAGCAGAACUUUCAGGUGUACAACAGAACCUCCUCUCCACUGUAAAUGGUUUUGAGUUUGGUGACCCGACAGCACAAGGGUAUUCAUCCCAUAAGACCUGCCCGCUUCUGAGGACUGUUGCCAUAGGGGCACUGCCACCCCAGGGCAGAAUCGUAGCUUGGUUCAUCGUCUCUUAGGCCAGGUUUGUUGCCGUUGGACGUUUUUUUAUUUUGAAGCUUGAUUUCGUCCCAGAGGAGAUGUUCACAUUUAAAGACUGAAGAUGAAAGAGAAUUUGUGAACUUAAAGCUGAAGGAGAAGAGUGGCUGUCUUUUUCUCGUUCUUCACAGUUGAUGUUGCUGCAGUGAAAGCAACAGUGAUGUAGCAGGUUGCGAAACACAAUAAUCUCUGGGAUGCUGAACUACAACCAAGCCAGAUAAAACAAAAGAAACCAAAAAAAGUCUUGGACUUAAGGGGUUUGGUGUGGCUGCAAAGGGUAUCUGAUGAUUGAGCUGGCAAUGCAGGCCCGUUGCCUUUGGUUCAUGUUAAAGGUCUGCCUAACAUUUGCUCUUGUGGUCUUUUUUUUCUUGAUUUAGACCGUUGUUGUCUUAAGAUACAUCUAAGAAUUUAUUAAAGCAGGGAUCAACACUGACAAAUGAUUGUGAAAUUUGUAUAUUUGUAGAUUUUUGGAUACACAUCCGGUUUUUAAUAUUGUGUAAAGGUACAGCUUUAUGUGGAGAAGAUAAAGAACUGGAGGUUUAAUGUAAAUGGAGUGGUGAUGCUUUAUGUACCUAGAAAUGGUUUACACCUUUUGGUUGUUGAGCUUUUAGAUACUAUAUUGUAACUACUGUGAAAUAAACUUGUGAAUUCUGUACAAUGGACAAAGUAAACGUUAAUUUAUUAAAAGACGAUGUGUAAUUUUCAAGCAUUUAUAUAUGCUUUUUGUUUUGGAUUAUUGGCCCGUUUUCAUCAGAAUUUUUAAAAAAUUUCUUCUGAAACUAUUUAUAAAUAAAAAUCUCAUCACAUUA